UCAAGUGAAGAAGGGCGCACGGUGAAUGCCUUGGCACUGGAAGCCGAUGAAGGACGCGACUAACCGCGAAAGUCUUCGGGGAGCCGUAAGUAGGCUUUGAUCCGGAGGUCUCCGAAUGGGGGAACCCAGCAUGUGCAGACAUGCUAUCCUUAAGUGAAUACAUAGCUUAAGGAGGGAACACGCAGCGAACUGAAACAUCUAAGUAGCUGCAGGAAGAGAAAGAAAUAUCGAUUUCCCAAGUAGCGGCGAGCGAACAGGAAAGAGCCCAAACCGGCAGAUUUAUCUGCCGGGGUUGUAGGACUGAGACAUGGCACUUCAGAGGAUAGCAGAAGCGUUUGGGAAAACGCGCCAGAGAGGGUGAGAGCCCCGUAAGCGAAAUCCAAAGAAGGCCUAUCAGUAUCCUGAGUAGGGCGGGACACGUGAAAUCCCGCUUGAAUCCGCGAGGACCAUCUCGCAAGGCUAAAUACUAACCAGUGACCGAUAGUGAACCAGUACCGUGAGGGAAAGGUGAAAAGAACCCCGGGAGGGGAGUGAAAGAGAACCUGAAACCGUGUGCCUACAAGUAGUCAGAGCCCGUUAACGGGUAAUGGCGUGCCUUUUGUAGAAUGAACCGGCGAGUUGCGUUAGUCAGCAAGGUUAAGUCAGAAAAGACGGAGCCGCAGCGAAAGCGAGUCUGAAGAGGGCGAGCAGUUGGCUGACGCAGACCCGAAACCAAGUGACCUACCCAUGACCAGGUUGAAGGCGCGGUAAAACGCGCUGGAGGACCGAACCCACGUAAGUUGAAAAUUGCGGGGAUGAGUUGUGGGUAGCGGUGAAAUUCCAAACGAACUUGGAGAUAGCUGGUUCUCUCCGAAAUAGCUUUAGGGCUAGCCUCGCAAAGAGGAUGCUGGAGGUAGAGCUCUGUUUGGACUAGGGGCCCGUCAAGGGUUACUGAAUUCAGAUAAACUACGAAUUCCAGACAUUUAUGUGCGGGAGUCAGACUGCGAGUGAUAAGAUCCGUAGUCGAAAGGGAAACAGCCCAGAUCACCAGUUAAGGUCCCAAAAUUCAUGCUAAGUGGAAAAGGAUGUGGAGUUGCGCAGACAACUAGGACGUUGGCUCAGAAGCAGCCAUCAUUCAAAGAGUGCGUAAUAGCUCACUAGUCGAGUGACGCCGCGCCGAAAAUUUACCGGGGCUAAGCAUGAUACCGAAACUGUGGAUGUGCAUUUAUGCACGUGGUAGGAGAGCGUUCUAGCGGCGGUNNNNNNNNNNNNNNNNNNGCCGGUAUGAGUAACGAAAGACAGGUGAGAAUCCUGUCCGCCGCAAGACUAAGGUUUCCUGGGGCAGGCUCGUCCGCCCAGGGUAAGUCGGGACCUAAGGCGAGGCCGAGAGGCGUAGUCGAUGGACAACAGGUUGAAAUUCCUGUACUGCACCGAAUCGUUAUGAGCGAUGGAGGGACGCAGGAGGCUAGCAGCGCGUGGUGCUGGAUACCACGUUCAAGCGUCAAGUCUGAGAGCGAGUCAAAUGCUUGCUCUCAUAAGGACAAGGCGUGAUGAGGAGCGAAAUUAAAGUAGCGAAGGCUGCGACGUCACACUGCCGAGAAAAGCUUCUAGCCAGAAACGGUGCACCCGUACCGCAAACCGACACAGGUAGUCGAGGAGAGUAUCCUCAGGUGAGCGAGAGAACUCUCGUUAAGGAACUCGGCAAAAUGGCCCCGUAACUUCGGGAGAAGGGGCGCUGGUCGCAAGAUCAGCCGCAGUGAAAAGGCCCAAGCAACUGUUUAUCAAAAACACAGGCAUCUGCAAAAUCGUAAGAUGAAGUAUAGGUGCUGACACCUGCCCGGUGCUGGAAGGUUAAGAGGAGAGCUUAGCGCAAGCGAAGGUUUGAAUUGAAGCCCCAGUAAACGGCGGCCGUAACUAUAACGGUCCUAAGGUAGCGAAAUUCCUUGUCGGGUAAGUUCCGACCUGCACGAAAGGUGUAAUGAUUUGGGCACUGUCUCAACGAGAGACUCGGUGAAAUUAUAAUACCCGUGAAGAUGCGGGUUACCCGCGACAGGACGGAAAGACCCCAUGGAGCUUUACUGCAGUUUAAUAUUGGGUAUCUGUCAAGCAUGUACAGGAUAGGUAGGAGCCGGAGAAGAUAGGACGCCAGUCUUAUCUGAGGCGCUGGUGGGAUACUACCCUUGCUUGACGGAUGCUCUAACUCAGGCCUGUGAUCCAGGCCGAGGACAGUGUUUGACGGGCAGUUUGACUGGGGCGGUCGCCUCCUAAAGUGUAACGGAGGCGCCCAAAGGUUCCCUCAGAAUGGUUGGAAAUCAUUCGCAGAGUGUAAAGGCAAAAGGGAGCUUGACUGCGAGAGAGACAACUCGAGCAGGUACGAAAGUAGGGCUUAGUGAUCUGGUGGUACCGCAUGGAAGGGCCAUCACUCAACGGAUAAAAGCUACCCUGGGGAUAACAGGCUUAUCUCCCCCAAGAGUUCACAUCGACGGGGAGGUUUGGCACCUCGAUGUCGGCUCGUCGCAUCCUGGGGCUGAAGUCGGUCCCAAGGGUUGGGCUGUUCGCCCAUUAAAGCGGCACGCGAGCUGGGUUCAGAACGUCGUGAGACAGUUCGGUCCCUAUCCGUCGUGGGCGCAGGAAAUUUGAGAGGAGCUGUCCUUAGUACGAGAGGACCGGGAUGGACGCACCGCUGGUGUACCAGUUGUCUUGCCAAAGGCAUCGCUGGGUAGCUAUGUGCGGACGGGAUAAGCGCUGAAAGCAUCUAAGUGCGAAGCCCCCCUCAAGAUGAGAUUUCCCAUUUCUUCAAGAAAGUAAGACACCUCAGAGACGAUGAGGUAGAUAGGCCGGGAGUGGAAGAGCCGUGAGGCUUGGAGCGGACCGGUACUAAUCAGUCGAGGACUUGACCAA
rnacentral:rRNA from 1 species